rnacentral:lncRNA from 1 species
UUACGGAAAGAAAGCACAGGGGAAGGGAGAGAUCUUGUUGACUUUGAGAAAAUCAAGAGGAAUGGACCCAGUACCUGAGAGCCCUUUGGUCCCAGGCCGCACCCCUUU